UCAAAAUUCACGCUCAAUGGUGUUUUAAGCCCCCAACAUCUCCUUUCAGGCAGCGCUGCGACCUUUGACUUCAAGGCGCAUAACCCUAAUCCAAACCCUAACCAUAAUCAGUGCCUUGCAAAA